ACAGGUGGUGCAUGGUUGUCGUCAGCUCGUGUCGUGAGAUGUUGGGUUAAGUCCCGCAACGAGCGCAACCCUUGAUUUUAGUUGCCAGCAUUUAGUUGGGCACUCUAAAGUGACUGCCGGUGCAAGCCGGAGGAAGGUGGGGAUGACGUCAAAUCAUCAUGCCCCUUAUGACCUGGGCUACACACGUGCUACAAUGGAUAGUACAAAGGGUCGCGAAGCCGCGAGGUGGAGCUAAUCCCAUAAAACUAUUCUCAGUUCGGAUUGUAGGCUGCAACUCGCCUACAUGAAGCCGGAAUCGCUAGUAAUCGUGGAUCAGCAUGCCACGGUGAAUACGUUCCCGGGCCUUGUACACACCGCCCGUCACACCACGAGAGUUUGUAACACCCGAAGUCGGUAGGGUAACCUUUAUGGAGCCAGCCGCCGAAGGUGGGACAGAUAAUUGGGGUGAAGUCGUAACAAGGUAGCCGUAUCGGAAGGUGCGGCUGGAUCACCUCCUUU
rnacentral:rRNA from 1 species